AAGCUGUGGACAUGAUGGUUUCACCAUAAAGUUCAUCCCCAGUGGUUAUCUGGCAUACAUUUGAUACACAUCUACCACUGAUAAGUGAAAGUGUGCUUCAGCUCAGACUUCAAAUCACUGUCAUAAAGUGCAUAGUGCUGAGUUUUGGAUUUGUGACUAAACCAGUGUUGAUAAGGAACCAGUGUUUUGGCUAUUGCUGAGCAAUACUGGCACGGUGUCUACUUGUGGGACAUGGAGUGAGCCCACCACACCUACACAUCCUUGCUUGCCUUCCUUGUUUGAGCCACAGGAUUCCUUCAGAGAAAGAAAACAUGCCUCUAACCAUAAAGGCAAUGAAGGAUACUACUUCAGCUGUGCUUCAGCUUUUGCCUGUGCCUGUCAAUAUAUCCCUUCACAGG